CAGCAUUGAGGAGAGGGCGUGUCGAUGCCAGUACCUAUUGUUGCUUAUGGUUUAAGUUUACAAAGCAUCAGGCCGACCAAAUGCGGCUCCUCACCAAAACUGUUCCUCGGGGGUUUGAAAUAACCUCGUUGCCUCAAGAUAUCUUUCUAAUGAUCCUCAGUUAUCUAUGUUACAUAGAUGUUAUCUAUUGCCGUCGCGUCUCAAGAUCCUGGAAUGCCGCGUUCGGUAAUCCCUUCAAUCUAUAUACAUUUUUGAAGUGGACUUUUCCAUUCGCUCGGGAGGUCCGUAGAUAUCAUCAAGAGAAACUCUUGGAUAAUGAGCAUGGAAUCCCACCGCACGACAACCAUUGGCGCGAGUUAUUUGACAAUAUCUCAGCCAGGUAUUUCCAUCUUCAUGUCGGCAGGCCUCAAUCCAUUGAGAGAUACAAAAUCUGGCCUAACUACACUCAAAAUAUUCGCAC
rnacentral:sRNA from 2 species